AUGCAUGCGUACCCCUUCAAUAUUGUUGACCACGAGUACUUGGUAGACUUUAUCCAUUCUUUGCGUCCAACUUUUCCAAUCAAAAGUCACCCUACUGUGAAGAAAGACAUAGUCAACAUAUUUAAAGAGGAAAAGAAGAAAUUGUAUGAGUACUUCAAAACAGUGCAGUGCCGAUUUAGUGCCACCAUGGACAUGUGGACAUCUAGACAAACCAAAGGAUACAUGUGCAUCACUGUUCAUUGGAUAGAUGAAAAUUGGUGCAUGCAAAAGAGGAUUAUCAAGUUU
rnacentral:rRNA from 1 species